rnacentral:rRNA from 1 species
UACAGAGGGGGCAAGCGUUAUUCGGAAUUAUUGGGCGUAAAGGGCGCGUAGGCGGCUUUGCAAGUGGCGGGUGAAAUCCCUCGGCUUAACCGAGGAACUGCCUGCCAGACUGUGAGGCUUGAGACCGGGAGAGGUGAGUGGAAUUCCCAGUGUAGCGGUGAAAUGCGUAGAUAUUGGGAGGAAUACCGAUGGCGAAGGCAGGUCUCUGGGCUGACACUGACGCUCAUGCACGAAAGCGUGGGGAGCAAACAGG